ensembl:lincRNA
UGAGAAUCAUGCUCACUCAUUGCACAGAGGGCCUAUGAAAUAUCACUUUCAUUUGUAAAGAGGGAAAAAAAGCAAUAAUAAAAUAACAACAAAGAAAAAAAUGAAACAACACAAGAACAAUAAAAAUGCCACAGAGUUUGAAAACAAGACCAUAGGAAUUAACAAUGAUUGUUAUACUGCAUAUUGUUAUCUUCAAAGUAGUUGCUCAGAUUACCUGAGGAAAGAAGGCAAGAUUGAUCAAACAAAUAAAAAGAAUGAAAAAUAAUUUAAAUAACAUUAGAUACAGUACAAAGCUUCCAUAAAUAAACUCAAGGAACUUUGCAUUAAAAGAAUAAAGUUCACUUCCCAGCACAAGAGCUCAAAGCACUCCAGGAAGGUUUGUGGAGUUAACCUUUUGUUGACUCUUCCAGCCUUCUCUGUCAUCACCAGCAUAUCUAAACCUUUCAACUUGGUCCAUUAACAGCACAUCCAAACAUUUCUCACCUUGUCCACCACCAGCAAAUGGAAACCUUUCCUGCCUUUCUCCAUCCCCAGAGGCUGAGGGCACAGCCGCAGUGGGUUUGUCCUUGCUGAGGUCAGAUCUCCACUCAAAAGCUCUCAGCUUUGCAGGGCAACUGCUGACUUCCGGGUCCCCAGUGCUCCCAGCAUUCCCCGCGGCAAGCAGCGUCAGAAAGGCAGUUGUUUCACCGUUCUAGAAGCUCCGGCCUCAGCCCCACUCCGGCUGUCGAGGUCCUGGCUGCGCAUACUUCCCGUCAUGUCUGCUGCUGAUGAGCGAGACCCGGCCCAAGGAGGACAAGGUGGAGCUGAUGAACAUGCAAACCUGGACCUCAAAGCCAUCUUUGAUGUCCUGGUGCCUGUGGUGUGGUCACUUGUGAUGGUGGGAGUCAUGGGCCUUAUUGCUUUUCGUGGGAUUAUCCGAUACCUUGAGAAAGAGGAGGUCCAAGAGGAGGCCCAAACCACCUUCCCCACGGGCUGCGAUAUAGAUUCGGAGGAAGACGAGGAUGAAGAGGAAAGUGAGGAGUCAGAAGCAGCAGGUUUUUCAGAGUGUAGGAUACUGCGUGCUGAAACUGAGCAUACAUUGGGGUAUUUUACCAAUGACAUCACAGCACCAAAGUCUCUAUCUUUACUUGCUAAGGAAGCAUUGCUAUGUUAUUAUGACUCUGAAUAUGAAGCAGACCAAAGUGAGGAGGAAGAAGAAGAGGAAGAGGAAAAAACUGAAGAACCAGGAGAAAAAAAAUACCUGUAGUGACAGAGGGAAGCCUUUCUUAGGAAUUGAGGUAUUGGUUUACACCCGUUAGUAUUAAUUAACCAUUCCUUACAUUCUCCUAGUACUAAUAACUUUACAUUUUCAAAUUUCUCCUGUAAAAUAAAUAAAAAAUGACUAAACUUUACUUUAAAAAACAGUUUGAUGUUUACAAUGUAUUUAUAUAUUAGACAAAGGGGAGGUAACCAAUAUAUUCUUUAUCCUGUAGCUGCAAGAUUACAACAAAGAGGAAAUUUAACAGUCUUUGUAGUGGAAACCAGUGGAGAAAGGUCAUCAGAAGCAGCAUCUAAAGAAACUGGGCCUUGUGCUCAGUGGGUCUUCAUCACAUGACACACAAAUGUAGUCUGUUAUAAAAAGAGUGCCUUUGAGAAGGCUGACAGUUGACAGAGUAGGGAAACAUUAAGGAGUUCAAGUGGGACACUCCAUUAUUAAUCCAGAAAUAUUAGCUCAGUUUAGAUUCCAUAGAGCACUGACACAAAAAGAAACAGUGAGAUUAUUGUUUAUUAUUGAAUUAGCAGGUACUGUAUACACCUCUACUUGUCCCUUACAUUCUGAAUGACCUUAUCUGUGCAGAUCUGAUAAUUUCAUUCUUAUUUUACAUUUGUGAGCACAGAAGACCUGGGAGGUUAAGGGAAUAUGUACAGUUUAGGUAAGAAAAAGCAUGGGCAGAAAGAUUUAUUUAAAACACUGAGUAGUUUCUCAAAGAAAAGAAAAUCGAGCCAUUCAUAGUGGCCACGAAGAAAGCAGCAAGAUUGACUUCACCCCCUUAUUGAAACCAUUAAAUUCUUGAGAACCCUGAUAUCAAAGGGUGUGUAUUAGAAGAAGAAAGGCUUUUUUGUUUUUGUUUUUGUUUUCCUUCCUGGGAUGCAGAUGUACAUAGGAUUGACUCAGAUUCUGAAAGUCAUUAGUGUAUGUGAAUGAUGUAGAAAUAUUAAUUGUCUCUUGUUUUAUCCUACAGUUGGAAAGCAAAGAAUGAAAUGGAUGCAGAAAGAAAUAAUGAAUUUGUUCUUCAUGAGUUGUGUAGUUUUCAGUGGCCCAGAAUUCUAAUUUUGUUUCAAAGUCCAUCAGACACAUCUGACAUCUGGCUUUACAUUGUCUUCUUAAAGAUAUGUUGGAGUGAGUUUGUUCAUUUAAAAUAAAAUCCACUUUGAACCAUAUAACUUGUAGAUUUUUAUAUGUGAAUAACACUGACUCAGAGCUCAUUUUGUGUCUCUUCUGUUUGGGCCCAAAAUGCGUUUCCUUUCUGUAUUUGGCCAGUAUGUUUUAAAUUAUUUUAUUAUAGUCCAAAAUAAUUUAAAAUAUAAAAUUAUGAACAGUUCGUGUAAUGAAAGAGUUGGAAGUCUAGGCCCUACUACAUUUCAUUGGGAAAAAAAUUUCUAAAUGACCUGGUUUUCCAGAAGAUCAGGUGGUACGAAUGUGCUACUGUGAAUCACUAGCACUAACAGAAGCUUCAAACUUGUUUGGAAUGAUUUUUAGGUCUUCACCCCAGACCAGCUGAAUCAGAUUCUUAAGGCAGAGUAGCACUGAGUGUUUUGCAAGUUCUCUGUGUGCUUCUGUACAGAGAAAGCAUAGAAAAUCACAUUUAAGAACAAUGGAGAGACACACUUAACUUCACCUAUAACCUUAUUAUUCUUACUUGACUGACUUGGUAUGUGCUACGUUUUGGCCCUGAAUGAAGAUCCAUGCAUUGAAGGUCCAAAGGUCCAUGUAUCGAAGGUCCAAACAUCCAUGUAUUGAAGGCCUCAUCCCUUUCGUGAGAAUGUGCUGGUGGGUAGCGAAAGCUUUAGGACGUCAGGUCUUGUGAAAUGUUGUUGGGUCACUGACUGUGUGCAACUCCGAGGCUAUGAGGAACCUGGUACCUUCUGCUUUCUCAUUGCUUCCUGGCUUCCCUGAGGUAAGGAGCUUCCAUGACCACAUGCCCAUGCCAUGAUGCACUGUCUCACCACAGGCCCAAAGCAAUCGCAACCCUAUCAUGUACUGAAGCAUCUGAUACCAUGAGCCAAAUUACAUUUGUCCUGAUUUAAGUUGGGCUAUCAGGCAUAUUUUGCCACAGUAACCAAAUAAAUGCAACAAAACUAUUUAGCAAAGUGUUGUUAAAGUUAAACUGAACAAGACAGGCAGGUCUUGAAUGUGGAAGAGAUGAUUUAUAGCCUUCUGAAACAACUCAGGAAGAAUAUGUUCAUUUCGCAUAGCUGCCAUAUCCAGUUCCCACAACGUGUCUCUCUUUUAUUUAUUGAAGGACAUCAUCAGCGAGAUUAAGUGCCCACUGUACUCUAGUAUACCUCAGUUUGAUUGUAUUCACAGUCCCUAUUUCAAAAUAGAGUCUUAAUCAGUCAUUCUGGCUGGUAUUGCUGCAACAUAUCUUUUUGGGACACAAUCCAUAAGCAUAAGCUAAGAUCAGGUUAUGGAUGUGUAGAGUAUAACAGUGUAGCCAGUGAUGUAAGGAUCCAAAUAUUUUGGUACUAUGCACAUGAAGUUAAGAAAUGCAUGACAUAAUCUCUUUAUAAUGGAUUACAUAUGUAUAUUUGCAGACAUGUGAUAUAUAUUUAUACUAUAUAAUAUAUAUUUAUACAUAUGCAGGAAGAUAUAUAUGAAAUAUAUAAACACUUUAUUUAGGUCAGUGGCAAAGUAUGGAAAGUGAAAGAAUUUAAUUAGGUACACAGUGUGACUAAACUCUUUGUAAACUCAUAGUUUCAUGGGUAUGUCUUUGUAGUGUAUAAUGAUUGCUAUCAU